UGGUGGGGUGACUGCGUACCUUUUGUAUAAUGGGUCAGCGACUUAUAUUCUGUAGCAAGGUUAACCGUAUAGGGGAGCCGGAGGGAAACCGAGUCUUAAUUGGGCGUUAAGUUGCAGGGUAUAGACCCGAAACCCGGUGAUCUAGCCAUGGGCAGGUUGAAGGUUGGGUAACACUAACUGGAGGACCGAACCGACUAAUGUUGAAAAAUUAGCGGAUGACCUGUGGCUGGGGGUGAAAGGCCAAUCAAACCGGGAGAUAGCUGGUUCUCCCCGAAAGCUAUUUAGGUAGCGCCUCGUGAAUUCAUCUCCGGGGGUAGAGCACUGUUUCGGCUAGGGGGCCAUCCCGGCUUACCAACCCGAUGCAAACUGCGAAUACCGGAGAAUGUUAUCACGGGAGACACACGGCGGGUGCUAACGUCCGUCGUGAAGAGGGAAACAACCCAGACCGCCAGCUAAGGUCCCAAAGUCAUGGUUAAGUGGGAAACGAUGUGGGAAGGCCCAGACAGCCAGGAUGUUGGCUUAGAAGCAGCCAUCAUUUAAAGAAAGCGUAAUAGCUCACUGGUCGAGUCGGCCUGCGCGGAAGAUGUAACGGGGCUAAACCAUG
rnacentral:rRNA from 1 species